rnacentral:rRNA from 3 species
GAAUGCUGACAUAAGUAACGAUAAAGCGGGUGAAAAGCCCGCUCGCCGGAAGACCAAGGGUUCCUGUCCAACGUUAAUCGGGGCAGGGUGAGUCGACCCCUAAGGCGAGGCCGAAAGGCGUAGUCGAUGGGAAACGGGUUAAUAUUCCCGUACUUGGUGUUACUGCGAAGGGGGGACGGAGAAGGCUAUGUUGGCCGGGCGACGGUUGUCCCGGUUUAAGCGUGUAGGUGUGUGUUCCAGGUAAAUCCGGUUCACUUUAACACUGAGGCGUGACGACGAGGCACUACGGUGCUGAAGCAACAAAUGCCCUGCUUCCAGGAAAAGCCUCUAAGCCUCAGGUAACAUCAAAUCGUACCCCAAACCGACACAGGUGGUCAGGUAGAGAAUACCAAGGCGCUUGAGAGAACUCGGGUGAAGGAACUAGGCAAAAUGGUGCCGUAA